ACGGGACUCUUCGGAGUUCAGUGGCGGACGGGUGAGUAACGCGUGAGAAUCUGCCUAGAGGAUGGGGACAACCACGGGAAACUGUGGCUAAUACCCAAUGAGCGGAGACGUUAAAGAUUUAUCGCCUCUAGAGGAGCUCGCGUCUGAUUAGCUAGUUGGUGGGGUAAAAGCCUACCAAGGCGACGAUCAGUAGCUGGUCUGAGAGGACAACCAGCCACACUGGGACUGAGACACGGCCCAGACUCCUACGGGAGGCAGCAGUGGGGAAUUUUCCGCAAUGGGCGAAAGCCUGACGGAGCAAUACCGCGUGAGGGAGGAAGGCUCUUGGGUCGUAAACCUCUUUUCUCAGGGAAGAAGAAAGUGACGGUACCUGAGGAAUCAGCCUCGGCUAACUCCGUGCCAGCAGCCGCGGUAAUACGGAGGAGGCAAGCGUUAUCCGGAAUUAUUGGGCGUAAAGCGUCCGUAGGUGGCUCUUCAAGUCUGCUGUCAAAGAGUGGGGCUUAACUCCAGAAAGGCAGUGGAAACUGAAAGGCUAGAGAGCCGUAGGGGUAGAGGGAAUUCCCGGUGUAGCGGUGAAAUGCGUAGAGAUCGGGAAGAACAUCGGUGGCGAAAGCGCUCUACUGGACGGUAUCUGACACUGAGGGACGAAAGCUAGGGGAGCGAAUGGGAUUAGAUACCCCAGUAGUCCUAGCCGUA
rnacentral:rRNA from 1 species